rnacentral:tRNA from 5 species
GCGGGUGUGGCGGAAUUGGCAGACGCGCCAGGUUUAGGUUCUGGUGGGUAACCCCCGUGAAGGUUCAAGUCCUUUCACCCGCACCA